CCUACGGGAGGCAGCAGUGAGGAAUAUUGGUCAAUGGGCGUAAGCCUGAACCAGCCAAGUCGCGUGCGGGAAGACGGCCCUAUGGAUUGUAAACUUCUUUUGUCGGGGAGUAAAAUACGUCACGCGUGGUGUUUCGAAAGUACCCCAAGAAUAAGGACCGGCUAAUUCCGUGCCAGCAGCCGCGGUAAUACGGAGGAUCCGGGCGUUAUCCGGAUUUAUUGGGUUUAAAGGGUGCGCAGGCGGAAGAUAAAGCCGGCGGUAAAAUUGGGUGGCUAAACCUUUUCGGGCGGUGGAAACUGGUUUUCUUGAGUGAGUGGAAAGUAUGCGGAAGGCGUGGUGUAGCGGUGAAAUGCAUAGAUAUCACGAAGAACUCCGAUUGCGAAGGCAGCAUACCGGCGCGCAACUGACGCUGAUGCACGAAGGUGUGGGUAUCGAACAGGAUUAGAUACCCGAGUAGUC
rnacentral:rRNA from 1 species